ensembl:lncRNA
GCUUUAGUUUAAAAAAUAAAUAUGUUUUGAGUCAAAUAUGUGUUUUCAUUGCAAGAAGCAUUAUUUCUUGUAAAAUUUUCCAGAUUUCCCUGAACUCCAAAGCUCCAAAACUUAAAUUGAAUUAGAAUUCUUCGUUCCCGUUGACUCUCAGACACUCGUAUCACAGCCAGUAGAUCCGUCUGAGCAGUGAAAGCUUUCCGCUCUUCUUAUUGUUUUUGGCAAAGCUGCUGGUGAAGACUUUCUGAGCACGCAGACAUUAAUACGAGUGCUCGUCGCAAAAGAUAAUUCAAAGAUGCCGUUUAACAUUUUACAUGGCGGGAGGAUUUAGAGCCUCAAAAGAUUAAAUCUUUCAGAUUUAUUGGAUGCUUAUUUUGAUGUUCUCCAGCAAAAUGUUUAAGGAAUUUAUAUAAAAAAACUCUAUUUAUUAACUUUUUUUCACAAUUUAAAUGUUUUAUAUACAGAUACAUACUUUUUUAAUACAUAUACUAGAUUCUAAAUGCUUUUUUUCUGUCACAGAUUCAUUUUACUUUAUUGUUGUGAUUAAAAUAGUUUCAGAAAGCUGAAUUUGGAGCUAAAUGAAAUAAAAAAUAUAAUUUAAUGUGUUGAAAAUAAACUGGAAAGCGCUUGUGGCUUUGUUGGCACCUGCCGCGCUUUUGUCAAGAGGUCAGACUGUCCGUCCUUCAACAGCACAACACGAGUGACUAAAUGAAUCGGAGCUGCGGGGGAUUGUGUGGUGUUUACGUUGGGGCAGUUCUUACUCCGAGCGGGUCCACAUCCAGACCUGGAGGUGCUUCCUUCUAAUCUCCGAGCGAGGGGCCCUUUCUGCAGUUAAAAAUAGGUUCCUCAAGGCGAAGCUGGCGGGGAAGGAUGGGGAGUAAAGUGAAAGCCGAAGGGAGUUUGGUCCCAGUGGGAGACGUUUGGCUUGUCAGCACCAUGUGUCUGGUUGUUUCCUUUGUCUGGAGCAGGCUGCGCACGUUACUCUUCCCCAGGAGGAAGCAAAGAGCCUCUGACAUUCAGGAAUAUGACGACAAAACAAAGAUGCUUUUAGGACGUUUUUGGAGAACUCUGGUGGCAGACUCUGACGCUCAGCGCUGUUAUCUUCUAUCUCCAUCUGGUGGACAGUUGUGGUCUUCUCAUGCGUGUGCAGGAACUCUCGUUACAUCACAUCCCUUUCAACAUUCCUCACACCUUUGAAGGUCGGCGAGCCCUUUUCUGCCAGACAUCCCCGCCGACUGUCCGUCUGUCUGUCUCUUGUCAUGUAAUUCUAAUUGUGUAUUUCUUUACUCAAAGAUUUGCCGCUCAAGAUGCGUUUAUUUAUACCCGACAUGAGUCUGGAUGAAUGCAGUGAUUUGUGUCCAUCGCUGAUUAUAAAUAAACACCUUUGUGGUUAAUGCUGUGUACCUCAGAGAGCUGCAGAGAGCUCCCACUCUCCUCUUUCCAUUCCUUUCUUGGCAUUCAGGAGAUCAACACUGACAUUCACGGUGGGAGCUCUGCGAGUAUGUGACUAAGCUUUCUUUGCAUUCUGUCACUGACUUUAACGCCCUCCGUAUGGUAAUCACUCUUGCAUGUCGGUAAUGUCACUCUUUACUGUCUGGGUAAAUAAUCUUCUUUCGAAGGUUUGUGGCUUGACUCAGAAGUGUACUGUAAAAAAAAACACAAGCUGACCAGAAAUUAGUUAUUUUUGACAUAAUCAAUAUAGUGGCAAUCUUACUGAAAGCUUUAAGAUGGAGGUUUGUUUGGAUCAUUCUGUUUGCUUUCUUUUAAAGCAACACUUGCAAC